GACGAACGCUGGCGGCGUGCCUAAUACAUGCAAGUCGAACGAGAGCGACCGGUGCUUGCACUGGUCAAUCUAGUGGCGGACGGGUGAGUAACACGUGGGUAACCUGCUCAUCAGAGGGGGAUAACAUCCGGAAACGGAUGCUAAAACCGCAUAGGUCUUCGAGCCGCAUGGCUUGAAGAGGAAAAGAGGCGCAAGCUUCUGCUGAUGGAUGGACCCGCGGUGCAUUAGCUAGUUGGUGAGGUAACGGCUCACCAAGGCCGUGAUGCAUAGCCGACCUGAGAGGGUGAUCGGCCACAUUGGGACUGAGACACGGCCCAAACUCCUACGGGAGGCAGCAGUAGGGAAUCUUCCGCAAUGGACGCAAGUCUGACGGAGCAACGCCGCGUGAGUGAAGAAGGUUUUCGGAUCGUAAAACUCUGUUGUUAGAGAAGAACAAGUGCUAGAGUAACUGUUAGCGCCUUGACGGUAUCUAACCAGAAAGCCACGGCUAACUACGUG
rnacentral:rRNA from 1 species